rnacentral:rRNA from 1 species
CCUACGGGUGGCAGCAGUGGGGGAUAUUGCACAAUGGGGGGAACCCUGAUGCAGCGACGCCGCGUGGGUGAAGAAGGGCCUCGGCGCGGAAAGCCCUGUCAGCCGGGAAGAAAAUGACGGUACCUGAAGAAGAAGCCCCGGAUAACGAAGGGCCAGCAGCGGCGGAUAUACAGAGGGGGCAAGCGUUCUCCGGGUUUACUGGGUGGCAGGGGGGCGCAGACGGUGAUGCAAGCCAGGAGUGAAAGCCCGGGGCCCAACCCCGGGACUGCUCUUGGAACUGCGUGGCUGGAGUGCAGGAGGGGUAGGCGGAAUUCCUGGUGUAGCGGUGAAAUGCGUAGAUAUCAGGAGGAACACCGGUGGCGAAGGCGGCCUGCUGGACUGCCACUGACGUUGAGGCCCGAAAGCGUGGGGAGCAAACAGGAUUAGAUACCCUUGUAGUC